rnacentral:snRNA from 1 species
AUGCUUGCUUCAGCAGCACAUAUACUAAAAUUGGAACACAGAAAAGAUUAGCAUGGCCUUGCAUAAGGAUGACAUGCAAAUUUGUGAAGCGCUCCGUAUGUUU